AAGAACAGUCUGCUCUUGGAUCAUGAGUCACUGAAUCGUGUGUUUACAGGCUAAUUCCGAGACACACAAUUACAAAACCCAUCUACUGAAAUGCGAGGCUAUCUUUAUUCGCGGAUCCAGAGGUCCAGAGGUUUCGACAAGGCUAUAGCCAAACCACUUGGGGAGGCGUCCUCCCAUAGACCACAUCUUCCCUACACGGCACAGGGAGGGAGUUAAGCAGGUUUUCCUGUUUUCUUACAGAGAUAUCAGGAGAUAUUAGGCCUAUCGUGGAAUGCCCUUCUGCUGCAGUUUGAAUUUACCACCAUAUCUUCAAGGCAUGAAGGAAGAACCAUCAACCUGGGCGUGAAGCAACUGGCACGGCAGAAGGUUCCCACACUUCAUGGAGGAGGCCAAACAAAUGGCGGCUGGACUACUUCCACCAGUCUUCAGACUGAAGCGAAAAAAGAGAAUGAGUUGGAGCUGAUGGCAGUCAGCAUGAAGAAGCUAUAUCCUUAAGAUUCUGUACAUUAUUUGUUAAAUAAAUUGUGAGGAAACUUUGGUGUGGUUAUUCUUCAAUGUAUAUUUAUAUCAAAUUAUGAUGACUAAAUUAUGACUUAACAAAAAAUUAAAUUUGAUUCUAUUAGACAUAU